UCAAGUGACUAAGUGUAUGUGGUGGAUGCCUUGGCGAUCAUAGGCGAUGAAGGACGUGUAAGCCUGCGAAAAGCUGCGGGGAGUCGGCAAAAAGACUUUGAUCCGCAGAUGUCCGAAUGAGGAAACUCACCGGGUAACCGGUAUCACAAACUGAAUACAUAGGUUUGUGAAGCGAACGCAGUGAACUGAAACAUCUAAGUAACUGCAGGAAAAGAAAUCAACCGAGAUUGCGGCAGUAGCGGCGAGCGAAACCGCAGCAGCCUAGUCUUUGAUAAUGCAUGGUGACAGCAGAACGGUCUGGAAAGGCCGGCCACAGUGGGUGACAGCCCCGUAUGCGAAGUCCGGUGCAUGGUACUAAGGAGACGAUAAGUAGGGCGGGACACGUGACAUCCUGUCCGAAGACGGGGGGACCAUCCUCCAAGGCUAAAUACUCGUGAUCGACCGAUAGCGAACCAGUACUGUGAAGGAAAGGCGAAAAGAACCCCGGGAGGGGAGUGAAAUAGAACCUGAAACCGCAUACAUACAAACAGUAGGAGCCCUACGGGGUGACUGCGUACCUUUUGCAUAAUGGGUCAGCGACUUACGUUUUGCGGCAAGCUUAACCGAGUAGGGGAGGCGCAGCGAAAGCGAGUUCGAACAGAGCGAUAGAGUCGUAAGGCGUAGACCCGAAACCAGAUGAGCUAACCAUGGCCAGGUUGAAGGUGUGGUAACACACACUGGAGGACCGAACCGACCGGUGUUGCAAAACCGGCGGAUGAGCUGUGGUUAGGGGUGAAAGGCUUAACAAAUCUGGAGAUAGCUGGUUCUCCCCGAAAACUAUUGAGGUAGUGCCUCGUGACUGACUCCGGGGGGUAGAGCACUGUUAUGGCUAGGGGGACAUGGCGUCUUACCAAACCAUGGCAAACUCCGAAUACCCGGAAGUUGAAUCACGGGAGACAGAGCACCGGGUGCUAACGUCCGGACUCAAAAGGGAAACAACCCAGACCGCCGUUUAAGGUCCCAAAUACAGGCUAAGUGGAAAACGAAGUGUGAAGGCUAAGACAGUCAGGAAGUUGGCUUAGAAGCAGCCAUCCUUCAAAGAAAGCGUAAUAGCUCACUGAUCGAGUCCUCAUGCGCGGAAGAUGUAACGGGGCUAAGUCUGUAACCGAAAGCGCGGAUUUGUACGCAAGUACAAGUGGUAGGGGAGCGUUCUGUAAGCCUGCGAAGGUGUGUGGUAACGCAUGCCGGAGGUAUCAGAAGUGCGAAUGCUGACAUGAGUAACGAUAAAGCGGGUGAAAAGCCCGCUCGCCGUAAGCCCAAGGUUUCCUGCUCUACGUUCAUCGGAGCAGGGUGAGUCGGCCCCUAAGGCCAGGCUGAGAAGCGUAGCUGAUGGGAAGCAGAUUAAGAUUUCUGCACCGACGUUAAGUGCGAAGGGGGGACGGAGUUUUGAGCAUCAUCCGGGUGUUGGAUGUCCCGGUUUGUGCGUGUAGGAGGCCGGCAGGCAAAUCCGCCGGCGAAUCUCCGAGACAAAGCAUCGAGCUGCAUUUUGCAGUGAAGUGAUGGGAUGAACUUCCAGGAAAAGCCUCUAAGCUAUAGCUUGACGUCGACCGUACCGUAAACCGACACAGGUGGGCGAGUUGAAUAUACUCAGGCGCUUGAGAGAACUCGGGAGAAGGAACUCGGCAAAUUGACACCGUAACUUCGGGAUAAGGUGUGCCUUUGUAGUGUGAAGAGUGAAACACUCCGAGCAUGAAGAGGUCACAGAGAAUAGGUGGCUGCAACUGUUUACUAAAAACACAGCACUCUGCAAAGACGAAAGUCGACGUAUAGGGUGUGAUGCCUGCCCGGUGCCGGAAGAUUAAGUGAUGGGGUGAGAGCUCCUGAUCGAAGUCCCGGUAAACGGCGGCCGUAACUAUAACGGUCCUAAGGUAGCGAAAUUCCUUGUC
rnacentral:rRNA from 1 species